rnacentral:rRNA from 1 species
GCCUUCGGGUUGUAAAGCACUUUUGUCCGGAAAGAAAUGGCUCUGGUUAAUACCCGGAGUUGAUGACGGUACCGGAAGAAUAAGGACCGGCUAACUACGUGCCAGCAGCCGCGGUAAUACGUAGGGUCCAAGCGUUAAUCGGAAUUACUGGGCGUAAAGCGUGCGCAGGCGGUUGUGCAAGACCGAUGUGAAAUCCCCGGGCUUAACCUGGGAAUUGCAUUGGUGACUGCACGGCUAGAGUGUGUCAGAGGGAGGUAGAAUUCCACGUGUAGCAGUGAAAUGCGUAGAGAUGUGGAGGAAUACCGAUGGCGAAGGCAGCCUCCUGGGAUAACACUGACGCUCAUGCACGAAAGCGUGGGGAGCAAACAGGAUUAGAUACCCUGGUAGUCCACGCCCUAAACGAUGUCAACUAGUUGUUGGGGAUUCAUUUCCUUAGUAACGUAGCUAACGCGUGAAGUUGACCGCCUGGGGAGUACGGUC